ACUGGAGGGCUGAUCAGACUGAGUCUGGAGAGUGAGACUCGGGUGACAGUUAUCUCCUAGAAGAAAAGGGAUGGAGAGAGCAGUCCUACGUGGAGAAAAACAAAGGGCCCACUGUGCCAUCCAACAGUG
rfam:Callipepla squamata strain Texas jcf7180005234235, whole genome shotgun sequence.